rnacentral:rRNA from 1 species
CCUACGGGUGGCAGCAGUGAGGAAUAUUGGUCAAUGGACGAGAGUCUGAACCAUCCAAGUAGCGUGAAGGAUGACUGCCCUAUGGGUGGUAAACUUCUUUUAUAUGGGAAUAAAAUGUUCCACGUGUGGGAUUUUGUAUGUACCAUAUGAAUAAGGAUCGGCUAACUCCGUGCCAGCAGCCGCGGUAAUACGGAGGGUCCGAGCGUUAUCCGGAUGUAUUGGGUUUAAAGGGAGCGUAGGUGGAUUGGUAAGUCAGUUGUGAAAGUUGGCGGCUCAACCGUAAAAUUGCAGUUGAAACUGGCAGGCUUGAGUAUAGUAGAGGUAGGCGGAAUUCGUGGUGUAGCGGUGAAAUGCUUAGAUAUCACGAAGAACUCCGAUUGCGAAGGCAGUUCACUGGACUGCAACUGACACUGAGGCUCGAAAGUGUGGGUAUCAAACAGGAUUAGAUACCCGAGUAGUC